GGUCUCAUAGCUAAGUUGGUCAGAGCGUUGGAUGUACUAAAGCCUUCCCCUUGGUGGUGUGGGUUCGAAUCCCACCGAGGUUG
rfam:Schistocephalus solidus strain NST_G2 genome assembly, scaffold: SSLN_contig0000686